GAUGAACGCUGGCGGCGUGCCUAAUACAUGCAAGUCGAGCGAACGGACGAGAAGCUUGCUUCUCUGAUGUUAGCGGCGGACGGGUGAGUAACACGUGGAUAACCUACCUAUAAGACUGGGAUAACUUCGGGAAACCGGAGCUAAUACCGGAUAAUAUUUUGAACCGCAUGGUUCAAAAGUGAAAGACGGUCUUGCUGUCACUUAUAGAUGGAUCCGCGCUGCAUUAGCUAGUUGGUAAGGUAACGGCUUACCAAGGCAACGAUGCAUAGCCGACCUGAGAGGGUGAUCGGCCACACUGGAACUGAGACACGGUCCAGACUCCUACGGGAGGCAGCAGUAGGGAAUCUUCCGCAAUGGGCGAAAGCCUGACGGAGCAACGCCGCGUGAGUGAUGAAGGUCUUCGGAUCGUAAAACUCUGUUAUUAGGGAAGAACAUAUGUGUAAGUAACUGUGCACAUCUUGACGGUACCUAAUCAGAAAGCCACGGCUAACUACGUGCCAGCAGCCGCGGUAAUACGUAGGUGGCAAGCGUUAUCCGGAAUUAUUGGGCGUAAAGCGCGCGUAGGCGGGUUUUUAAGUCUGAUGUGAAAGCCCACGGCUCAACCGUGGAGGGUCAUUGGAAACUGGAAAACUUGAGUGCAGAAGAGGAAAGUGGAAUUCCAUGUGUAGCGGUGAAAUGCGCAGAGAUAUGGAGGAACACCAGUGGCGAAGGCGACUUUCUGGUCUGUAACUGACGCUGAUGUGCGAAAGCGUGGGGAUCAAACAGGAUUAGAUACCCUGGUAGUCCACGCCGUAAACGAUGAGUGCUAAGUGUUAGGGGGUUUCCGCCCCUUAGUGCUGCAGCUAACGCAUUAAGCACUCCGCCUGGGGAGUACGACCGCAAGGUUGAAACUCAAAGGAAUUGACGGGGACCCGCACAAGCGGUGGAGCAUGUGGUUUAAUUCGAAGCAACGCGAAGAACCUUACCAAAUCUUGACAUCCUUUGACAACUCUAGAGAUAGAGCUUUCCCCUUCGGGGGACAAAGUGACAGGUGGUGCAUGGUUGUCGUCAGCUCGUGUCGUGAGAUGUUGGGCUAAGUCCCGCAACGAGCGCAACCCUUAAGCUUAGUUGCCAUCAUUAAGUUGGGCACUCUAAGUUGACUGCCGGUGACAAACCGGAGGAAGGUGGGGAUGACGUCAAAUCAUCAUGCCCCUUAUGAUUUGGGCUACACACGUGCUACAAUGGACAAUACAAAGGGCAGCGAAACCGUGAGGUCAAGCAAAUCCCAUAAAGUUGUUCUCAGUUCGGAUUGUAGUCUGCAACUCGACUACAUGAAGCUGGAAUCGCUAGUAAUCGUAGAUCAGCAUGCUACGGUGAAUACGUUCCCGGGUCU
rnacentral:rRNA from 1 species